UACGGAGGGGGCAAGCGUUGUUCGGAAUUACUGGGCGUAAAGGGCGCGCAGGCGGCUGCUCAAGUCAGGCGUGAAAGGCCUGGGCUCAACCCGGGAAUUGCGCUUGAGACUGGGGCUGGCUUGAGUGCGGGAGAGGAUGGUGGAAUUCCCAGUGUAGAGGUGAAAAUUCGUAGAUAUUGGGGAAGAACACCGGUGGCGAAGGCGGCCAUCUGGACCGCAACUGACGCUGAGGCGCGAAAAGCGUGGGGGAGCAAACAGG
rnacentral:rRNA from 1 species